rnacentral:rRNA from 1 species
AAUCAACGCUGGCGGCGUGCCUAACACAUGCAAGUCGAGCGAGAAAAGGGGAGCAAUCCCCUGAGUACAGCGGCGCACGGGUGAGUAACACGUGGGUAAUCUGCCCUGGAGUGGGGAAUAACACCGGGAAACCGGUGCUAAUACCGCAUACGAUCACAAGGUUUGCGGAUUUUGUGAUGAAAGGAGCAAUUCGCUCUAGGAGGAGCCCGCGGCUGAUUAGCUAGUUGGUGAGGUAAUGGCUCACCAAGGCAACGAUCAGUAUCCGGUCUGAGAGGACGGUCGGACACACUGGAACUGAGACACGGUCCAGACUCCUACGGGAGGCAGCAGUGGGGAAUUUUUGGCAAUGGGGGCAACCCUGACCAAGCAACGCCGCGUGGGUGAUGAAGUCUCUUGGGACGUAAAACCCUUUCGACGGGGACGAAACCGCAAGGUUGACGGUACCCGUAGAAGAAGCCCCGGCUAACUCCGUGCCAGCAGCCGCCGUAAUAC